GCUCCCUGAUUCAGCGGCGGACGGGUGAGUAAUGCCUAGGAAUCUGCCUGGUAGUGGGGGACAACGUCUCGAAAGGGACGCUAAUACCGCAUACGUCCUACGGGAGAAAGCAGGGGACCUUCGGGCCUUGCGCUAUCAGAUGAGCCUAGGUCGGAUUAGCUAGUUGGUGAGGUAAUGGCUCACCAAGGCUGCGAUCCGUAACUGGUCUGAGAGGAUGAUCAGUCACACUGGAACUGAGACACGGUCCAGACUCCUACGGGAGGCAGCAGUGGGGAAUAUUGGACAAUGGGCGAAAGCCUGAUCCAGCCAUGCCGCGUGUGUGAAGAAGGUCUUCGGAUUGUAAAGCACUUUAAGUUGGGAGGAAGGGCAGUAAGUUAAUACCUUGCUGUUUUGACGUUACCGACAGAAUAAGCACCGGCUAACUUCGUGCCAGCAGCCGCGGUAAUACGAAGGGUGCAAGCGUUAAUCGGAAUUACUGGGCGUAAAGCGCGCGUAGGUGGUUUGUUAAGUUGGAAGUGAAAGCCCCGGGCUCAACCUGGGAACUGCUUUCAAAACUGGCAAGCUAGAGUAUGGCAGAGGGUGGUGGAAUUUCCUGUGUAGCGGUGAAAUGCGUAGAUAUAGGAAGGAACACCAUUGGCGAAGGCGACCACCUGGGCUAAUACUGACACUGAGGUGCGAGAGC
rnacentral:rRNA from 2 species